CCUACGGGAGGCUGCAGUAGGGAAUGUUGCGCAAUGGGCGAAAGCCUGACGCAGCAACGCCGCGUGAAGGAGACGGGCUUCGGGGUGUAAAGUUCUGUGAGUGGGGACGAAAGAUGACGGUACCCACAGAGGGAGCACCGGCUAACUCCGUGCCAGCAGCCGCGGUAAUACGUAGGGAGCAAGGGUUGUCCGGAAUCAUUGGGCGUAACGAGUUCGUAGGCGGUAUGUUAAGUCUGGUGUUAAAUGCAGAAGCUCAACUUCUGUUCGGCACUUGAUACUGGCAAACUAGAAUGCGGUAGAGGUAAAGGGAAUUCCUGGUGUAGCGGUGAAAGGCUUAGAUAUCAGGAGGAACAUCGGUGGCGUAAGCGCUUUACUGGGCCGUAAUUGACGCUGAGGAACGAAAGCCAGGGUAGCAAAUGGGAUUAGAUACCCUUGUAGUC
rnacentral:rRNA from 1 species